GGGGGUUCUCAGGUGAUACACCCUGGAACCAGAGAGGAGGGAGCCCAGUUCCGGGGUGCGUCACCGGAGAACUGCC
rfam:Myotis brandtii contig165360, whole genome shotgun sequence.